ACGCUGACAGAAUGCUUAACACAUGCAAGUCUUUGGCGAAGCUGUGCUUGCACAGCCUAGCCAAGGCGGACGGGUGAGUAACGCGUAAGGAACUUGCCCUGCAGUCAGGGAUAACAGACGGAAACGACUGAUAAGACCUGGUAAAGUCAGGCGGACUCAUGUCCAGCCUGAUGAAAGGAGAUGCUGCAGGAGAGCCUUGCGUCCUAUUAGCUUGUUGGUGGGGUAACGGCCCACCAAGGCGAUGAUAGGUAGCCGGCCUGAGAGGGUGGACGGCCACAAGGGGACUGAGAUACGGCCCUUACUCCUACGGGAGGCAGCAGUGGGGAAUAUUGGACAAUGGGGGCAACCCUGAUCCAGCAAUUCUGUGUGCACGAUGAAGGUUUUCGGAUUGUAAAGUGCUUUCAGCAGGGAAGAAAAAAAUGACGGUACCUGCAGAAGAAGCGACGGCUAAAUACGUGCCAGCAGCCGCGGUAAUACGUAUGUCGCAAGCGUUAUCCGGAAUUAUUGGGCAUAAAGGGCAUCUAGGCGGCCAGAUAAGUCUGGGGUGAAAACUUGCGGCUCAACCGCAAGCCUGCCCUGGAAACUAUGUGGCUAGAGUACUGGAGAGGUGGACGGAACUGCACGAGUAGAGGUGAAAUUCGUAGAUAUGUGCAGGAAUGCCGAUGAUGAAGAUAGUUCACUGGACGGUAACUGACGCUGAAGUGCGAAAGCUAGGGGAGCAAACAGGAUUAGAUACCCUGGUAGUCCUAGCUGUAAACGAUGAUUACUGGGUGUGGGCAUGAAGAGUGUCCGUGCCGAAGCUAAUGCGAUAAGUAAUCCGCCUGGGGAGUACGGCCGCAAGGCUGAAACUCAAAGGAAUUGACGGGGACCCGCACAAGCGGUGGAGCAUGUGGUUUAAUUCGACGC
rnacentral:rRNA from 1 species